rnacentral:misc_RNA from 1 species
GAGUUCAUGCCCUCACGGGUAGAUCUCCCACCCUUGAAUAUUAUACCUUCGUUGCUUUGGCAGGCCGUGGAAACACCAUGGGCUCCGGCUGAUGCGUGCCUGCCAGAGGAAACAAACUCUGUCAUUUAUGUCGUCUGAUUACUAUUUAAUAGUUAAAACUUUCAACAACGGAUCUCUUGGUUCU